CGGCUUUUCUCGCGUUCUGAGAGCGUUAAUUCUCUAGUUAAACUACCGCCUUCUGAGAUCGCGAUUACAGCUGAU
rnacentral:pre_miRNA from 1 species